GGAUAUUACAAGCAUAAGCUCAAAAACCAAAGGAUUUGGCGGCGCUUUAGACCCACCUAGAGGAGCCUGUCCUAGAAUCGACAAUCCCCGCUAAACCUCACCUUCUCUAAUAGCCUACAUACCGCCGUCGUCAGUCUACCCUUUGGGGGAUUAACAGUUAACAAAAUCGGUUUAACCCAACAUGCCAGGUCAAGGUAUAGCAAACGAGAAGGGAAGAGAUGGGCUACAUUUCCUACCUAGGAAAAACGGAGAGUGUUUUGAAAAAAAUACAUCAAAGCUGGAUUUAGAAGUAAGUAAAAAAUAGAGAGUUUU
rnacentral:rRNA from 1 species